rnacentral:lncRNA from 1 species
GAGUGCAAACACCUUUCUCUGGGUUCUUAUGUGAACACAAGCAGCCCCUCAGCUCUCUGGCCCAACUGCAGCGAAGCAGGCGCAUCCUUGGCUGUCCGCGCCUGGCGUGGGGUCGGGGGGAGAGCUGAAGAGCUGGGCGCCCUUCCUUCUCGCAUUGUCCUGUGUCUUGCGCACCUUGACCCAGAGGCCUAGACAAUAAAGGCAGCGGUUCCCAAACAUGGAGCAUCAGGCUUGGGGUUCUGAGGCCCCAGCUGCCUCAUCUGCUGCUCUCCUCGCCUUCACUCUACCCUGACUCCCACCUCGUCCUCCUUCCCAUCUCAGCUUAAUGACCUCGACUCCGCCAUCUAGGUCUAAACGCUUGCCUAGUUCCUAAUCCUGUCCUUCCCAGCACUUAAUGUGGCAGGCGUGAUAUAUUCAUCUGCGAUUUCAUUUGCCUGAUGUCUGACUCUCUCCAAAAACAAUGGCUGCCACAUUUUGAGCAACACAUGUGGGCAUGACAAUAUUUGGCUAAAGAGGAGCAUUUCCUCUUAGUGUCUAUUUUUAUUGUGGAGAAAACAUUUCUGACAAGACCUUCAAUGGACUUCUCCUUAGUCCCAUUGCUCAAGAUGAGGCCACAUUCCACGCCACAGAUAGAAGGGAAUGUGGGAAGGAAGGAUCAUAAUUAGUAAUAUCAGAUGAACCACAAACACUGGAACCAGAUCUUUCCAUCACAAGAAAUUGCUUCAGAGCUUUCCAAUCUAUGCCUUGAGAGGGACAGACCCACCACAGCAACUCAGAAGCGCUAGAAAGUGGACAUUGGUCAAAUAUCCAACAAUUGGACUGAUUUUUGUGUGUAGCAAAGGAAUGUGCCCAUUGCAGAGAAACAUUGUCAUCAGAGGCCCAUUCGGAUGUAGACUGGAAAAAUAAACAUAGUAUUAGGAAAAUCUUAAGUGACAUUUUUUUUUGGUAAUUAACAAUAGUUUUUGUAAUUAGGUUCCAAU